rnacentral:hammerhead_ribozyme from 1 species
AUCCAUCUGACGAGUUCUAAAUCGGACGAAGUGACACGCGUCCUGUAU